CAGCAGGUAGGCUGGCUAGCACUCCAUUCCUUGCUGCUGUGAGGGCAUUCUAAUAUAAACUUCUCAUACUUGGCCAGCCAGCUUAAAAUUACCUUGGCUACCUCUACAGGGCUGCACUAGCCAUGUUGUCUUUGUGUGAUAACUGCUGUGAGUUGCUGGCCUAAGAUGGUUUCUGAAUCCACUUUUUUCCUUUCUCCCACAUUCCAAAGUAACAGUAAUACAUGCCCAUUCAUAGAACAAGACAUAUUUUUCUUUUAGGAGCGUAGAAUUUAAUUUCUGUAGUCCAAGCCUGUCUUGUAUAAAAGUUCAAUUCCCAUAAGUAAAAGCCCCACUUUCCUUUCAGCUGACUGGAAAUGACAUUCAGAUUUCAUCCUUGAGGUCACCACUUUGAGCCUCAACAUUGGAGAUAUCUAAAAACAGCAGAAGGAUUUCUUAAUGUACCAGAUGAAGCAGAAUGAGUUCAGUACGGUGCCAAGCUCCCACAGGUUAUCUGGCACAGAUGCAGGGAGAAAUAAUGGAAGCAGUACAGUCUGGAAAACUCAAAAGCGGCACGGUGUUGAACCUCAAACCCAAGGACACUUGGCUGGGGGACCAUGGAUCCAUAACAUUUGCAGUUUCUCAGAAACAGGCCAGCACCAAGGAUGCUCUUAGCAGCCAGGAGGAUUCCACAGCAGACUCAUAUUCCUCUCAGCACCUUUCCAGCCAGGAAAGCAAAACCAUCGAUGAGCUGCUGGUGAGGCUGCACAACAUUCAGAACACAGGCUGAACCAGAGACACAAGAGGAAACUAUUUUCUAGCACAGCAACUGGCAGUUGAGCUCAAGAACAAGCAGCCUGAUGCUCAAAGCACCCUGGCUGUGGAAAACAUUGUCCCACACCAGCCACCGCCUGCCAGGUACAAUGUGCAAAAAUUCCCAGUAGUGGAGGAAAAGACAACCACAGGCUAGGAGCAAGACCAGCUUGACUGAGGGUUGAACUGGCCAAUAUUAAGCCACUGGGAAGUAGAUGGUGAGUUAAACCCCACGGACAACAACACUGCCUUCAGACAUCACAGUGCAAAGGAAGCAGCAGCUCAAAGAAAGAGCUAUGUUCGGAUUCACCAGCUCAGGCAGAGGAACUCCAGACACCAGGUUGGACACAAUCCCCUUUUCUCUGAAGUGUUUAGCAAUGUGAGGGCAGAGGACGAGCCCACACCAAGAGAAACCAAAGGGGAACGCAGUCUAAACAAAAAAACAGGACUCUUUCUUGGAUCUGUGGGUUAAGAGCUGCCCUGCUGCAAGCACCACAGGAGAGGACAGUGCUAAAGAAAAGUAUUCCUCUCUGGGAUGAUACUAGAAGUGACCAGAGGAAAUAGAUUGUGUGCGAUCGACAGAGUUUUAAUGUCUGGGGAUUCCUUCAAGGCACUGUAGAGUUUCUUUUGCAACCAACAAAUAGGCAAUUGAAGCCCAGAGAGACCAUAUCUGUGCAGAGCACAAACCCCAUGGAAGGCGUUGUUCACUCCAGGUUGCUACUCUGUGCACAUGAAGUCACUUCCAAAAUGGGGAUCCAGGAGAGCUGCACAUAGAGGCACUCUCAAUAUUCAAUCUGUGUGCUGUUUGGAGGUGUUUGAAUUGCAUUGUUGUGUCGUAAACUUGAAACACCAUGCCAAGAGCAGGUUCUCCACAAAGGUGUAUGUCAGCUGAAACACUGCUUUGUUUUUUGUAUGUUUGUGAGAUUCCUGUGGACCGGUACUUGGUUGUAACCGUGGUAAUUUUUUAUCUAUUUCUAUAAUAAAUAUUUAUGAAAGCAAA